rnacentral:rRNA from 1 species
UACGAAGGGGGCUAGCGUUGCUCGGAAUCACUGGGCGUAAAGGGUGCGUAGGCGGGUCUUUUAAGUCAGGGGUGAAAUCCUGGAGCUCAACUCCAGAACUGCCUUCGAUACUGGCGAUCUUGAGUCCGGAAGAGGUGAGUGGAACUCCUAGUGUAGAGGUGGAAUUCGUAGAUAUUAGGAAGAACACCAGUGGCGAAGGCGGCUCACUGGUCCGGUACUGACGCUGAGGUGCGAAAGCGUGGGGAGCAAACAGGG